GGUGCUUGCAUCAUGAUUUACAUUUGAGUGAGUGGCGAACUGGUGAGUAACACGUGGGAAACCUGCCCAGAAGCGGGGGAUAACACCUGGAAACAGAUGCUAAUACCGCAUAACAACUUGGACCGCAUGGUCCGAGUUUGAAAGAUGGCUUCGGCUAUCACUUUUGGAUGGUCCCGCGGCGUAUUAGCUAGAUGGUGGGGUAACGGCUCACCAUGGCAAUGAUACGUAGCCGACCUGAGAGGGUAAUCGGCCACAUUGGGACUGAGACACGGCCCAAACUCCUACGGGAGGCAGCAGUAGGGAAUCUUCCACAAUGGACGAAAGUCUGAUGGAGCAACGCCGCGUGAGUGAAGAAGGGUUUCGGCUCGUAAAACUCUGUUGUUAAAGAAGAACAUAUCUGAGAGUAACUGUUCAGGUAUUGACGGUAUUUAACCAGAAAGCCACGGCUAACUACGUGCCAGCAGCCGCGGUAAUACGUAGGUGGCAAGCGUUGUCCGGAUUUAUUGGGCGUAAAGCGAGCGCAGGCGGUUUUUUAAGUCUGAUGUGAAAGCCUUCGGCUCAACCGAAGAAGUGCAUCGGAAACUGGGAAACUUGAGUGCAGAAGAGGACAGUGGAACUCCAUGUGUAGCGGUGAAAUGCGUAGAUAUAUGGAAGAACACCAGUGGCGAAGGCGGCUGUCUGGUCUGUAACUGACGCUGAGGCUCGAAAGUAUGGGUAGCAAACAGGAUUAGAUACCCUGGUAGUCCAUACCGUAAACGAUGAAUGCUAAGUGUUGGGAGGGGUUCCGCCCCUUCCCUG
rnacentral:rRNA from 1 species